rnacentral:tRNA from 1 species
GCCUGAGUGGCUCAGUCGGUUGAGUGUCUGACUUCAGCUCGGGUCACGAUCUUGGAGUUUGUGAGUUCGAGCCCCGCAUCGGGCU